rnacentral:rRNA from 1 species
UACGUAGGGGGCAAGCGUUGUCCGGAUUUAUUGGGCGUAAAGAGCGUGUAGGCGGCCAUACAGGUCAGCUGUGAAAACUCGAGGCUCAACCUCGAGACGUCGGUUGAAACCGUAUGGCUAGAGUCCGGAAGAGGAGAGUGGAAUUCCCGGUGUAGCGGUGAAAUACGCAGAUAUCAGGAAGAACACCUAUGGCGAAGGCAGCUCUCUGGGACGGUACCGACGCUGAGACGCGAAAGCGUGGGGAGCGAACAGG